rnacentral:tRNA from 1 species
UGUGGCUCAGUGGUAGAGCACUUGCCUAGCAUGUGUGAGACACUGGGUUUGAUCCCCAGCA